rnacentral:rRNA from 1 species
GAUGAACGCUGGCGGCGUGCCUAAUACAUGCAAGUCGAGCGAACAGACGAGGAGCUUGCUCCUUUGACGUUAGCGGCGGACGGGUGAGUAACACGUGGAUAACCUACCUAUAAGACUGGGAUAACUUCGGGAAACCGGAGCUAAUACCGGAUAACAUGUUGAACCGCAUGGUUCAACAGUGAAAGACGGUCUUGCUGUCACUUAUAGAUGGAUCCGCGCCGCAUUAGCUAGUUGGUAAGGUAACGGCUUACCAAGGCAACGAUGCGUAGCCGACCUGAGAGGGUGAUCGGCCACACUGGAACUGAGACACGGUCCAGACUCCUACGGGAGGCAGCAGUAGGGAAUCUUCCGCAAUGGGCGAAAGCCUGACGGAGCAAAGCCGCGUGAGUGAAGAAGGUCUUAGGAUCGUAAAAAUCUGUUAUUAGGGAAGAACAAAUGUGUAAGUAACUAUGCACGUCUUGACGGUACCUAAUCAGAAAGCCACGGCUAACUACGUG